CGGGAUAGCUCAGCUGGUAGAGCAGAGGCUGUAAGAGGA
rnacentral:tRNA from 1 species